AUUUCGUGAACCGAUUCGUGAAUCCCUAAUCCGUGAAUCCAUUGAAGAAUCCCUAAUUCAAAAUCCCUCGUUAAAGGGUUUCUGAAUCAUCAAAGGUUUUCCAGAACUAUCGGCUUUGUGGAUGCUGGAAUCAACUUUUCUUUGCAAGUUUUCAAGAAUGCUCAUCUUACUUAGUGGAGGCAGUAAGCAGUUGUUGAAUGCAAGUUAAUUUGGAACCGAAGCACUAUAUCAUCCGGGAUUUUGCAAAGACAACUCUUUCUCAAGAUGACUAAAAGAGGUGGAAAAGCUAAGGUAUUAGCACCAGGAAAACUUCAAGAAGAACGAAAUCGCAUAAUUAACAAGAAGCAUAUCGUUAGGAAACCUGCUCAAACAACAUUGUCUAUGCAGGAUGCAUCAUCGGCACCAACACCAGCUCAGGCAGCACCGUC